rnacentral:tRNA from 1 species
UCCCCAGUGGCUCAGAUGGUAAAGCAUCUGCCUGCAAUGCAGGAGACACAGGUUCGAUCCCUGGGUCAGGAA